rnacentral:lncRNA from 1 species
GUGCAGCCUCCCCCAGCACCAGAGUCCAAUCAGACUCCGCCAGCUGAGGCUGCUUAAACCAGCCAUCACACACACACACUGCCACAGUGGCCUUAAUCUCUGAUGACUUAUCAUGGUCAAUGUAUGAUGCAGUUCAGUAGGUGUGUUACAUAUAACACAUUUGCGUUGGCAAUCUUGACAAUCUAUCGCCGAAUAAGGCUGCUCUCUCGGCCCAACCGGGUUCAUCUGCAUCCCGCUGAUAACGUAGAUGACCUCCUCACUUCUGAAGACGACCUGAGAUACAGACAGAGGUGUCAGAGGACACAAGACGAUGUUCGUUUUCUUGGCUUUAAUGGUGACUUUCAAAGGUAAGACGGAUUUAUUUCAAUAGAUAAGGUUACACAAAUAUAGCCCCUGCCAGUCUCCCAGACUACCUAAAUGAAAUGAGUGCUCCAAAACGCCUUGUUCUUGAUGAGUUUAUACUACGUAAAUUAGGCCGAAUGAUUUGUGCAUGUUUAUCGGAGUGAAUGUUGUAGGUCCGGCCAGCCAGGUAGCUGGCGCCUUCUGAGGGCCUGGACUGGAGGACCAUCGUCUGCCGCGCCCAGCACCCGUUCCUGGAGUCCAGCUGCAACGUUACCGCGCGUACGGCAAGAUAUUCUAACACGUGUACAUUAAGGCACAUAAACAUUCUGACAUUUUUCAAAGGCAAAUAUUUCAGUACAAAUCCUUGAACACCUAAAUAUUUCAAACACGUUAAAGGUGACGUGUUAUACCACCGGGUGUGAGUGCGAUUAGCCGUUACAAGCCUCUUCUGACAUCACAUUUGGACGUGUCCACCUAGAUGUGUGCUGGAUAGAUCAGUCUACCAGCCAACCCAGUGGACUGUAGCAAACGUUGCUUAUCCAAAACGGCUUGUAACGGCUAAUCACACCUGGUGGUAUAUUAUGUCACCUUUAACAUUUUACCACGUAGAGCAUGAACAUGUAGAGUAGACACAUGAAAAUGUAAAUAUAUGUAAAUGUGUCUGACAGUCUUCAGUGUGUUGGACACCCAGGUCAGCCAGUAGAGUUCCUACCCAGGGUGGGGGCUGCCGUGGACCCGGAUGGAAGGAUCGCCGUCACCAUAGAAUGUUUGAGUGACGCAGUGCCCGACGCCAUGGUUACCUGGCUCAGGGCGGGGCAGGCCGUAAGCAGCAGCAACCAACACCAGAUCAGCGCCAACACCACACAGCUCACCGUGUGACACUUCAACAUCAGCGAAUUCAUCAGAGAAGACUUCAGCUGCAUCUGCUCCAACCCUCUGGGCAACAAGAGCCGGACCACCCGGUUACUAGGUACAGUGGUUAGGAAGGACUAGUAGUUACAGUAACUAGUCACAGAAACUAGGUACAGAGGUUAGUAAGAA